AAAUCUCAGUUCUGAUCUCGA
rnacentral:piRNA from 1 species